rnacentral:lncRNA from 1 species
CCGGUCAUCUUCUACGAAGAUAUAGACGGCAGGCUUGAUAGAGAAAGAGUCUAUGUCCGUCAGACCUUGGGCGGAAGGGAUUGAUUAGCUUGCUAGAGCCAAAUCUUAUUCGGCUGAAAAAUUUGCCGUAAUCAUGGUUGUUGGCGAGAGGAAGAACCAAGUAAAUUGAUUCCAAAGAGAAAUAAAAUAGGAGUAUUCUUUAGAGAGAACAU